rnacentral:rRNA from 1 species
GAUCAUGGCUCAGGAUGAACGCUGGCGGCGUGCCUAACACAUGCAAGUCGAACGAAGCGCCAUUUUACGAUCCCUCCGGGGUGACGAGACGGUGACUGAGUGGCGGACGGGUGAGUAACGCGUGGGCAACCUGCCCCAUACAGGGGGACAACAGUCGGAAACGACUGCUAAUACCGCAUAAGCGCACAGAACCGCAUGGUUUGGUGUGAAAAACUCCGGUGGUAUGGGAUGGACCCGCGUCUGAUUAG